rfam:Thermosynechococcus elongatus BP-1 DNA, complete genome.
CCGGUUGUGCCCCCAACCGUAGCCUAGGGAGGCAUGCGUGACUGGUAACGGUCAGGUAUGAAGCCCUCCCGACAACGUAGCCCGAACCGCAAGGUUGAAGCCGAAUCCGUGAGGAGGAAGCAACUUCACCAGCGUCAGGUGAUAGGGAGC